UAGAUGUUUCAAACUCAUCAAGAUUCAUGUCUUGGAAGAAAAGAACGGUCUAAAAUGAGAGUGAAAGCAGAAACAACAAGAAACGGGUACACUGGAACACAAUCCAACCCAGGAAUUAAAAGGUGAGGAAGCGAAACCCGGGAAGAGACACAAGUGGUCAGACUGCAACACUGAGUCUGAGUAGUACAAUACACCAAACCUUACCACUUCCCAUUUUCACACCACCCUAACCCUAACCCUUUGGUCCACGCCUUUAACCAUGGUUACUUACAGUUCCAUUCCACGGGUUAGUUUAUGAACUCACUCAGUCAAACAUCAUCACCACCUUUUUUUAACCCUCCUCUAUUCACUGUCUCUCUUCUAGGUACCUGCACGUUAAAUCUUUAUUAUUAACUGCAGAAAAUAAUUAUAGGUGUGUUAUGGGAACAGCACAAGAUUGGACAAACAAAAAGAGAGAAGAAGAAUUAAACGGGUUGAGUUUUUCUGAUUUGGUUAUUAGCUUUUAUAUUCCACUGUGUAAGUUCAGAAGGGUGUUUGGUUGUUUUAAUAAUAAUGUUUAAAAUCUGGAUUCUGGUCAAAGAUGUAUCAGUCUACUUGCUUUUUGACGUAUAGAGAUAUGGUUGGUUUUGCUUUGCAUUAGAAAAAAGCAGAAUCAGGAAUCAGAAGAUUUUACUGGUAGUGGUUGUAUUGUAUAUGUUGUGUUCGACUAGGUUUAAUGAUCUAUGAAAAACAUGAUCUAGGAAAUUGUCAGAUAUUAUUAAAGACAGAGUGGUUGGGGUGGGGGUGGUUAUUAUUAUUUGAUAGAGAAGUAUUUAUGGGGAAAAAGAAACGACAAAGAACAAAGGAACUUUCGGUAGCGAUUGCUGAGGCUUCAUCCAAAGGAGGUGACACGGAGCAUCAUCUUCAACAACAACCUCAGCCUCCUCGAAAGAGAGGGAGACCUCGUAAGGUUGUUGUUGUGGAAACGGAAAGCGAGGGGGAAAAAGUGGAACCAGAAGCUUCUGCAGCAACCAUGAAAGAAGAACAACAACAACAUGGGAAGCCACAAGAGGAGUUAAUAUCAGCAUCGGCAACAUGCACGGUGAUAGUUACAAAGGAAGAGGGUGUGUUGGAAGAGAUUCAACUCCCAAAAGGAGAACCCUCAAGAAGCAGGUCCAGACGCAAAAGCAAACCCAGAAAAAGCACUUGAAAAUCAUUACCUUCUUUUAUAAUUUCCGACCCUUUUUGUUCUCCAGAACGAAGCAAAAGAAAGAGAUUCUUGGGCAAUCGGAAUAGAUAAGGAGAAAGAAAAGAACUAACCACUUAUUGGAUUGGGUUAUUGAGCUUGUCAUGUUUUUCGAAUGAUUGAAAUGGAAAAGGCAAGCAUCCAAAGAACUUUUUCUUCAGGUUCUAAGGUUUAUCUAAUCACUGGGCUAUUAGGAUUGUUUAUGGUUGAAUACAAUGUUUCAUUCCCAGAACUUGCUUUUAACUGUGAUAGCAAUAUAUUAUAAUCUCUUGAAUGCUUGUUACUGAAUAUGUUGUCUCUUAAUAGUGAAGAUAUUGGUUCA
rnacentral:lncRNA from 1 species